rnacentral:rRNA from 1 species
UCCUUGUCGGGUAAGUUCCGACCCGCACGAAAGGCGUAACGAUUUGGGCACUGUCUCAACGAGAGACUCGGUGAAAUCAUAGUACCUGUGAAGAUGCAGGUUACCCGCGACAGGACGGAAAGACCCCGUGGAGCUUUACUGUAGUCUGAUAUUGAAAUUCGGUACAGCUUGUACAGGAUAGGUAGGAGCCUUAGAUACGUGAGCGCUAGCUUACGUGGAGGCGUUGGUGGGAUACUACCCUCGCUGUAUUGGAUUUCUAACCCGCACCAUUAAUCAUGGUGGGAGACAGUGUCAGAUGGACAGUUUGACUGGGGCGGUCGCCUCCUAAAGAGUAACGGAGGCGCUCAAAGGUUUCCUCAGAAUGGUUGGAAAUCAUUCAUAGAGUGUAAAGGCACAAGGAAGCUUGACUGCGAGACUUACAAGUCGAGCAGGGUCGAAAGACGGACUUAGUGAUCCGGUGGUUCCGCAUGGAAGGGCCAUCGCUCAACGGAUAAAAGCUACCCCGGGGAUAACAGGCUUAUCUCCCCCAAGAGUUCACAUCGACGGGGAGGUUUGGCACCUCGAUGUCGGCUCAUCGCAUCCUGGGGCUGUAGUCGGUCCCAAGGGUUGGGCUGUUCGCCCAUUAAAGCGGUACGCGAGCUGGGUUCAGAACGUCGUGAGACAGUUCGGUCCCUAUCCGUCGUGGGCGUAGGAAAUUUGAGAGGAGCUGUCCUUAGUACGAGAGGACCGGGAUGGACAUACCUCUGGUGUACCAGUUGUCGUGCCAACGGCAUCGCUGGGUAGCUAUGUAUGGACGGGAUAAGUGCUGAAAGCAUCUAAGCAUGAAGCCCCCCUCAAGAUGAGAUUUCCCAACUUCGGUUAUAAGAUCCCUCAAAGAUGAUGAGGUUAAUAGGUUCGAGGUGGAAGCAUAGCGAUAUGUGGAGCUGACGAAUACUAAUCGAUCGAAGACUUAAUCAAAUU